rnacentral:lncRNA from 1 species
ACUUGGUUCCUCAGAUUGGGUUCAGAUGACAGUUUAUCAGAUGACUUUGGGUUUCAGAUGAAUUGUGGUUCCGAGUUCGAGCCGAAGCUUUGAUCCUGUGUUCCGAGAUGCACAACCUGCCAGUCUUGUCUGCAUCAUGUGCAUCAUAGCAUGUUUAUUUUCAAAAGAAAUGCAAUAAAAAAGAAUCAAAUGAAAAAAAUAAGAAAAAGAAAAAGCUAAUCCCUGCAUGCAUAUCAUUUCUCAGGUACAUUCCAGAGUCUAUUCACUGAUAGAGAUGGCAACAGUCCCAGAGCCGAAGCGGAAGACUUGUUCCUAUAGCUUUCAC